rnacentral:lncRNA from 1 species
GGUAACAUAGAUCAUGUUAUGAUCCCUCUUGUUGUGAUCAUGAGCUGUCCUUGUGAUAUUUAUUAUGCGCCACUACUUCUCCGUUUGUUAAUGCUGCAGGCCUCCAAGAUAAGUACUGCUGCCUGAAGGAUGGUUUGGGAUCAUGUGUUCAGGAGUGCGACUCCAAGAUCAAAUACUACUGCUGCCUCAAGACUGGACUCGGCGGCUGCAAGCAACUCUGCGAGACCAAUGUCGAAUACUUCUGCUGCCUCAAGAACCCUUUUGGUACCUGCUUUCAGCUGUGCGACUCGUCCAAGGAACACUACUGCUGCAAGAAGAACGUUUCUGGUUCCUGCGUUGGAAUGUGCCCCAAAACGGUGAACCUGAUGAAGUGAUCUGCGUUUGAUGACAAGUGUAAGCAACAUCUAAAAGCUUAUAAUUGCUGAUACUCUCUACAACUUUUAUAUUUUUACAAGAUUUUCGCUAUACUUUUACUUUUUUCAACUGAGUUUGUAAGGUAGCUUGCCAUGCCACUGCUGCUGGAUCGUCCAUUGGGAGACAAGUAGCUUUGAACAAGUCCUCAUUCUAGUUCACGUCGCUCAGCACCAGGUCGCCAUCGCUGGUAAAGCUGAGGUACGCUCCUUCCGGGACGGUUUUCGCGUAGCUCGCCAUGUCAGCGCUGCUAGAUAGUAGAGAUUGAAACUCUCCUUGUCGUCCAUGGCGUAGAAGACUGACAAGUAGAACUGGAACUCUUGGGAGGUUUGCUCCCAGCAGCUAAGUAGGAGGCAGGAAGGGGUGCUAAAGCCAAGGCUAAUUCGAAAUAUCUGGAGUGGAUUCGAGAGUGGAGCUUGGAGGAAGAUGGCGCUUCCAGUGACAUUGGAAGCUUUGUGUGGUCGACCAACACAGGAGGAUCUGGAGCGCAAGUCUUGGCCCUCGAGAGCUCUGGAAAUCUCGUCAUCCGGAGCAAAAUUGGAGAUUUCCUGUGGCAGAGCUUUGAUCAUCCCUGUGAUGCUGUGCUCCCUGGGAUGAAGUUAGUAGCCAGCAUCUCUAAGGAGAACAAAGAGCCAGGGUACUUCUCACUCGAGGUAGCCGCUUCUCGGUCGCUUUGAACUCCAGUAUGUUGAGAAUCUUUUGGAGAGGUCUGGAGCUCCGAUGAGGAAGAAGAAGAGAUAUCAUUUCUCUUCCUCGUCAAUAGCAGCUUGGAAAUCCACGGGACGAAAGGUGUUAUGUGGUCCACUCCAACGAUCGGUGGUGUUACUGAUCAAUCAGGGCACCAGUUCCUCAAGAUCUACUCGAAUGGAGAGCCCCGGUUUACCUCGAGAUCAUUCAGCACCGGCAACAGCACGAAGAGCAUCAACUUAAACCCGCUCUUCUUUGGGAAAAGCUCGCUUACUCGAACCUGUGGGAUCUCGUUCGAGACAGCUGAAGGAUACCUCUGCAUCGUUCACGAAGUACGUUUCUUCCGGGGACAAGGAGGGAUGCAAGCACCUGGAAGAACCUGCGAGAACUCGCAACAUCACUACAUGCUCGAAGCCACAGUACGAUACUUCUACAAACCUCUAGAUUUAUCCAGUGCGCUCCACAACGUCACUCCAGCAGCGUGCAUGGCCCUGUGUAUCAAAAACUGUUCCUGCAAAGGGGUGCUAAGCCAGGAGAAACAACUACCUGUUUCCAGAUGACCGAAGUUUUUUCUCUGAACAAAACUCGCAACGUCGUCGAUGAAGCUUUGCUGUUUUCGAUCAAGUUGUACCAAGCUGGAGAUCUUCCAAAGCUCUCAACACCAGGCAACUCACAAAGUCGCCAAGUAGCAAAAACAGGCAAAGCCAGCCAUCGUCGCGGUUUUCUCUGUGGCGACCAUGGCUAUAAUCAUCAUCGCAAUGGUGACCUGGAAGAAACAGAUAAACUCGUACCUCAAACACUACAAACCAUCGUUGGUGCGCGUCUUUAAUUACCCGGAGCUCCUCACUGCAACCAAAGCCUUCAGUGCGAAAAUCGCAAGUGGAGGCGUUGGCACGGUUUUCGAAGGGAUACUCUCCGUUGCCGUGAAACGGCUGGAGAGCUUCUCGAGCCAAGGAUACAAACAGUUCAAGGCGGAGGUGAGAGCGAUCGGAAUCAUCCAUCACAAGAACCUUGUAAGACUCAAAGGCUUUUUUUCCCAGGAAUCACACUACUUCCUGGUUUACGAGUACGUAGCAAACGGGUACAAGCCGCGGGAAGACACGAGAUUCAAGAUAGUCGAGGAGAUUGCUCGAGGGAUGUGCUACCUCCACGAGGAAUGCAGCACUAGAGUUCUGCACUUGGACAUCAAGCCGCAAAACCUACUCCUGGACGAAAACUUUGGUGUCAAGAUAGCAGAGUUUGGACUGUCGAGGAUGGUAGAGCAAGGAGAUCUAAGCGAUGUCAUGACAAUGAUCUGAGGAACACCCGGAUACAUGGCUCCGGAAUGGUUGCAGAUGCGAGUGAGAGACAAACUGGACAUCUACAGCUUUGGGAUCCUUGUGCUGGAAGUGGCGCUUUCCAUACCUGUGUGUCUUGCGGGAGGAGCCCAAAGUUCCUGGCGGUUUGAGAAGCUUCGGUCUGGGAAGUUAAUGGAGAUGUUAGAAGAGAAGAGGGCGCGGCAAGAAAUGGAGGCUACCUCUAAGGCCGAGAAGCUGCUUCGCAUUGGAGUGUGGUGCAUCCAACCGGAUUCUCAGCCAAAUUGUGGGAAUCCACUGACACUCAUAGAUUUUGUAUGAGAGGCACCAUUCUAUCGAGAUUUAGUGGCACCAAAGCAGCGCCCGCCCUGCAAGUGCCCUAAGAUUCUUCGAGGAUAUUAUUUAUUAUUUAGAUCCAGGCUUAGUUUGUUAUAUUUUUGUUUAGUUAAGUAAAAAUAAAAUAGUUUAAUUUUUAUUUAUUUAUAAAUUAUUUAUUUUUUAAACGUAAAACCUUUGACAAGCGUUUGAGAGGAAUGCCCAAAUUUUUAUUUCUUUUUAAUUUCUAUAAUAUUUCUAAAACAUUGUUACUCUUUAAAUGUCAUUUAUGAAAAUCCAAAUUCUAUAUCAACCAGUUUUAAACAUAGAAUCAUGGGUUUUCUUUUAGACUUAUUAAAGACGUAGGAAGAAAAGAUAAUUAUUACUCAGGAUUUUCACUUUCUAAAGUAGUGUUUUCAAAAAAUGGUAAAUGACAAUAUCAUUAUUAAAUGCACAACCAAAUAGUAGAUAAAAUAUUUAGGCUUUGAUUUACAAGUAGAAUCUGGCUGAUUUUGUUAGGGAUGAUUUUGUAAAAUAUUAUAUCAAUGGACGGUUUAGCAUAUCGUAUCAGCUUGAUUCAGAUUAUAUUUUUCCAGAUAAAAUAAAACUUGCUUAUUUCACCCUACAAAACCAUAUAAAAACGAUUGCAAUAUUAUAAGGUAUGCGACCACACCAUUCUGUCUUUUCUACUUUCUGCAAUCUUUAAAUGGUUUAUUCAUGCUUUACAUGCAACUGGACUGCAAUCUACAAAGAGUAUAAUUGUUUGGAGCACUCACACAAAUAGCUUUCUAAGGUUGCAAAAAGAUGGAAAUAUGGUAAUCUAUGGUGAAAAUUACACGGUUGUUUGUUCAGACAGCAUUUACUGGAAAGACAAAUGGAUUACUAGUGCAUUAUGUGUUGAUAACUCUGGACUUGUUGUAGUAUACAACACUGUAGAGCAAACUUGUAUAUGGCAAUCACCAAGAUGAGAAUUUAAAAUCUAGCAUUCACUCUACACAAAUAUGAGAUAGAAGGACAUAAGUUGAUGCUCCAGAAGCUCUUGCGAUGGCGCUUGGAGCAGCCAUGUUUCCAAGCCGAUUAUUGCCAUGAGUUUUACAAGCUCCAAGCAGCGUCAUGUAGGCAAUGGAGCCCGGCUCGAUUGGCAUGCUAUCGAUCACCUCUUGGGCCUCGUCAAGCCGGCCAGUUCGCCCAAACAAAUCGAUCACACACAUGAAAUGCUCCAGGUUUGGAGCUAUGUGAUGAUCGAGCACAAGAGACUGGAAACUAUACUUACCACUCUCAAAGAGCCCGGCAUGGCUACACGCAGAGAGAACACUGACAAACGUGACUUCGUCCGGAUCAAGCCCCUCGAGCUUCAUCCUCCAGAAGAGAUCAAAAGUUUCCUCAAAAUGCCCGUUGUUCGCAUACACCGAGAUGAUUCCAUUCCAUGAAACCACGUCCUGCCUUGUCGUUGCCUCAAACGCCACCUUUGCCCCUCGAAGGUAUCCACACCUCCCAUAAAAGUUGACCACGGCAUUGUUUGUCAUCACAUCGGAUUGAAACCUAGAGUGAUGGAGCUCACCAUGCACAAGCUUUCCCUUUUGGAGAGCGGUGAUCCUCCCAAGGGCGUCAAGAACAGCCAAGAAACUCACCUUGUCCGCCUGGGUGCCUUCCAGAUCCAUUUGGUGGAAGAGCCGAGCAGCACUCUCGCAUUCCCCGGCUUGGACGAAGAUACAAAUCAAGGUGUUCCACGAGACCGUGCUUGGCUCCUCCAUUUUCUCAAAGAUUUCCUUCGCUUUGUGGAUAUGCCCGGCUUGGGCAUGCGCCACCAUAGCUGUGUUGUGCGAGAAGCUGUCCCAGCAGGGCAUCCUUUUCGUGAGAAUCUCCAGAGCCUCGUCCACUCUCCCGUGCUGGAUAUAAGCCGCCGCGAGCGUGUUAAACGAGACCACGUCUGGAGAAGGAAUGGUUUCCUCGAGGAAACUCGCGGCCUUGGCGAGAUGCCCGUUUUGGGCAUAUGAUCUUAGCAAAGAGUUCCACGAGACAGUGGAUGGGUGCUCGAUGCGAUCAAACACUGCCUUGGAUUCCUCCACUCCCUUGCAUUUUCCAUAGCUCGCCACCAGUGAAGUCGCCACGGCGAGAUCGGAGAUCCAGCCAGUGUGAUCCGCCGCUGCGUGAACUUGGCGGCAGUGGGAGAGGCUCGAGAGGCCCGAGCACGCAUCGAGAGCUGCGAGGAACGUCGCGCGGUCGGGUGUUGUGUCGAUCUGCCAGAACAGCGCGAGUGAUUCCUCGCAGUGACCGAGCUGGGCAUAGGCCGCGAUGAUCGAGCUCCACGAACUCGUGUCUCGCUGCUCCAUCCGAUCGAAUACCCGCCUCGCGCUGGCGAGGUGGCCUCUCUGGAGAUACGCGGUGAUCAGCGCGUUGCAUGCCGCGAUAGUGAUCUCUGCCGAGAUCUCGAGCAAGAACAGUGCUUGAUCGAAGUGUCCCUGCUGGGCUUGAGCUCUAGCGACGAUGCUCCACGAGGAAAGAUCUCUCCGGGGCAUUGUCUUGAAAAGGAGCAUCGCUUCGUCGAGGCAUCCAUUGUGAGCAUACGUCGCGAUCAUGGCGUUCCAGAGCUCUCUCCGCCGCUUCUUCUGCUCGAAGACGAGCUCGGCCCUCUCCACUGCACCGGAUCUCCCGAACAUCUUGAUCAAGGAGCAUGAUACUCCGUGAUCGCUACGCAAGGAUCCGCAGGCUUGGCUCAAGUGGAAGAUCCUCUCGCAUCGAUCAGGAUCGCCAAGGCUGCCGCAGGCGUCGAUGGCGAUGAUGUACGUGAGUUUGUUCUUGAGGACGUCCAUUGAAUCGAAAAGGUCUAGAGCUUCUAGCAGAUGCCCAAGAAGGGCAAGUGCUGUGAUCAUCGCGUUCCAGAGAGUGGCGUCCUUGUGGCUUGUUUGAUGAAAUAUCUCAAGCAACAAAACCAUGUCACCUUUCGAAGCAUAAGCUAUGAGAAGUGAUGUUCUUGAACGAAGAUCGUGGGCUGGGAGUCUUUCAUACAAAUCUAUGGACUCCAAAAAAUGCCCUUUUAGGGCAAAUGCUGAGAGUAGAGCGUUCCAGACAGCCAAAUCUCUUUGUUUCAUGCAAUCAAAGAGAUCCUUUGCAUCCUGGAGCCGUUCAUGGCGAGAUGUGGCAUCAAUUAUCGUCGUCCAGGAGAUCACAUCAACGCAAGGCAUUCGGUCGAAGAACUCUCGCGCUUUGCAAAGAUUCCCUGAUUGGGCAUACGCGGAAAGCAUGGCGUUCCAGCAUAUCGCAUUCCUGCCAAUGAUCCGAUCAAAGAAAUGCUCCGCGCUCUCGGCCUCGCCAAUCUUUCCAUAAACCACAACGAGCGCCGUCCCGACAGCGAUCUGGGUGUGAAUUCCCAGCUGGAUUGCUUCCAUGGCAAUCGCCCUUGCCAGAUCUCUAUCCAGCUCUUCGAUCCCGGCAAUGGCAUCGAGAACGCUCACGAAGCUGAUGGAAUCCGGUGCCACGCCCUGGAGAUCCAAGCCCCGGAAAAAUCCCAGCGCCUCUCUGCAAUGCCCAUUCUGGGCAUACGCCGCGAUGAUCGUGUUCCAGGACACAAGAUCUCUCUCCGGCAUGGAAUCGAAGAGCUCCUGCGACCGCGAGAGAUUCCCAGCGCCGGCGUACCCGCUAAUCAGCGCAUUCCAGGAGACCACAUCGCGAUGAGCCAUUCGCGUGAAAACGUCCCUGGCUCUGGCAAGAUCCUCUGUCUGGGCAAAUGCUCGAAGCAAGAUCGUCCACGAGUAGACGUUGUGGCGGGCUGCGCCGCUGUGGAAGACGUUCUCGGCAUCGCGCAGGCUGCCGCAGACGCUGUACAUGUGAAUGACAAGAUUCGCGACGAAUGUGUUGCGAUCCAGGCCUGCCCUGGCGAUCUGCGAGUGGAGAAUCCGCGCCUCCGUGGGAGAUCGGCAUUUUCGGAGUAGUGCCGCCGCAGCAUCUACGCGCAUAGAACCAUAAUGCGUUUUAGGGUUCUAGAAUAUUUUCUUGGGCUGUGCUAUGUUUCUUCGAAUGCUGUCCUUUGUCAGUUUAAAAACUUAGAUUGCUAACCCAUUUAUGAUCAAUUUUUUGUUCUCGGGAGAUAGAUUCAGUUUUGAUCUGAUGUUCGAAUUGAAGAACUGUCCAAGCACUGAGCUGAACCAUCACACUUUCAUUCACACUAGACAUCCAGAAUUGUCACAUGGUUCACAGUUGAAUCAGGUAGCUGAGGUUGACACACAUUGUGCAAGCACAAUUUCUCAAUCUUGAGUAUGAAUUUGGCGUUUGGACAAGGAUUUCUCCCUUUCCUUGAAUCCUUCUACUUUGAUUUUUUCACUAGCACUUGGGCACCACUAAUUUUCAGGAAGUCUCAAGAGAGAAAUUCAUUGUUUCCAUUUAGAUUCUUCUUCCAGCUUGGUUUUCUACUCAACACCAAAUGCUUAGUGUGGAUACCUCGGAGGGGCAAGGUUGGCUUUUGAGGCAACGACAGGGCAGGACGUGGUUUCAUGGAAUGGAAUCAUUGCGAACAACGGUCAUUUUGAUUAAACUUUUGAUCUCUUCUGGAGGAUGAAGCACGAGGGGCUUGAUCCGGACGAAGUUACGAUUGUCAGUUCUCUGUGCAUGUAGCCACGCCCGGCUCUUCGAGAGUGGUAAGCAUAGUUUCCAUUUGCAGGUUAUUGGAUUUAAGUGCUUAGGGUGUUCUCUAAAAUAAACCAUGUGAACUGUGAAUUGGCCGGCUUGACGAGGUCCAAGAGGUGAUCAAUAGCAUGCCAAUCGAGCCGGGCUCCAUUGCCUACAGGAGCUUGUAAAACUCAUGGCAAUAAUCGGCUUGGAAACAUGGCUGGUCCAAGCGCCAUCGCAGAGCUUAUGGAGCAUCAACUUAUGUCCUUCUAUCUCAUAUUUGUGUAGAGUGAAUACUAGAUUUUAAAUUCUCAUAUUGGUGAUUGCCAUAUACAAGUUUGCUCUACAGUGUUGCAUACUAUAACAUGUCCAGAGUUAUCAACACAUAAUGCACUAGUAAUACAUUUGUCUUUCCGGUAAAUGCUGUACGACCAGACAACCAUGUAAUUUUCAUCAUAGAUUACCAUAUUUCCAUCUUUUUGCAACCUUAGAAAGCAUCCAUUGCCUUUGUUAUUUGUGUGAGUACUCCAAACAAUUACACUCUUUGUAUGUAAAACUAGAUUGCAGUCCAGUUGCAUGUCAAGCAUGAAUAAACCAUUUAGAGAUUUCAGAAAGUUCCCAUUUGAUAAUGUGGAAAAGACAGAAUGGUGUGGUCCAUUUCUUGCAUACCUUAUAAAAUCGUUUUUAUGUGGUUGUAAGUAAGCUUUACUUUAUAUGUGGAAAAAUAUAAUCUGAAUCAAGCUGAUAUGAUAUGGUAAAUCGUCCAUUGAUAUAUUCUGCCAAUUCAAAUUUUACAAAAUCAUCCAUAACAAAACCAACCAUCAUAUCAAAUCAGGAAAGGUAUUCCAUCUACUAUUUGGUUGUGCAUUUAAAAAUGAUAUUGUCAUAUUUAAGGAUUUAAAUUUUUUCAAAAACACUGAGUAAUAAUUAUCUUUUCUUCCUACUUCUUUAAUAAGAUCUUUAAGAAAAACCAUGAUUCUAAAGUGGUUUUCAUAAUUGGCAUUUAAAGAACAACAAUGUUUUAGUAAUAAUAUUUAUGUAUUAUAGAUAUUAAAAAGAAAAAAUUAGGCAAAUAUUCCGUUUUAAACUUUUUGGUUUGCUUAAGCUGGUACUGGAUAUACCUAGAAUAUUCUAGAAUAUUCUACCAUUUAACGGUUGUUAUUCAUGUAUUUGUAAUUUAUAAACAUGUUUAUAAUUUAUUAAAUUUCUUUAAAACUUUCUAAUAUAUUCUUUUUAUUUUACCAUCUAAUGAUUGAUAUGCAAUACUUAAUCUUGUAUUUAUAAAUUAUAAACAUGUUUAUAAUUAUAAAUUUUUAUUUGGUCAAUUGGAUUAAUAAGUACUAUUAAGAAAAUCAAGCAUUGCUACAUGCAACACGUAGCAAAUUAUUUAUUUUACUUAACUAAACUAAAAUAAAUAAAUUAAGCUAGACUAAACUAAACUUUAUUAACUUCUUAAAAUUCUCAUUGCUCAAAGAAUUUUAGGGCACUCUUGAGUCAUUGCAGGGUGCCGCCUUGGAUCCGGCUGGAUGCACCACACUCCAAUGCAAAGUAGCUUCUUGGCCUUAGAGGUAGCCUCCAUUUCCUGCCGCACCUUCUUCCUCUUCUAACAUCUCCAUUAACUUCCCAGAUCGAAGCUUCUCAUGCCGCCAGGAACUUUGGGCUCCUCCCGCAAGACACACAGGUAUGGAAAGCUUGUAGUCCGGUAGCCACUUCCAGCACAAGGCAAAGCUGUAGACGUCCAGUUUGUCACUCACUUUCAUCUGCAACCAUUCCGGAGCCUCAUUGGCAUGACAUCGCUUAGAUCUCCUUGCUCUACCAUCCUCCACCUCGACAGUCCAACGUCUGCUAUCUUGACACCAAAGUUCUCAGCCAGGAGUGUGUUUUGGGGAUUGAUAGCCAAGUGGAGGACUCUAGUGCUGCAUUCCUCAUGGAGGAAGCAAAUUCCACGAGCAAUCUCUCGACUAUCCUGAAUCUCGUGUCCCAGUUGUGCUCUUCUCGCGACUUGUAGAUCUACUUGUCUAGGGAUCCGUACUUGUAAACCAGGAAGUGGUGUGAUUCCUGGGCAUUGGGAUUUUUCGGCGCUGGGAUUUUUCCGGGGCUUGGAUCUCGAGGGCGUGGCACCGGAUUCCAUCAGCUUCGUGAGCGUUCUCGAUGCCAUUGCCGGGAUCGAGGAGCUGGAUAGAGAUCUGGCAAGGGCGAUUGCCAUGGAAGCAAUCCAGCUGGGAAUUCACACCCAGAUCGCUGUCGGGACGGCGCUCGUUGUGGUUUAUGGAAAGAUUGGCGAGGCCGAGAGCGCGGAGCAUUUCUUUGAUCGGAUCAUUGGCAGGAAUGCGAUAUGCUGGAACACCAUGCUGUCCGCGUAUGCCCAAUCAGGGAAUCUUUGCAAAGCGCGAGAGUUCUUCGACCGAAUGCCUUACGUUGAUGUGAUCUCCUGGACGACGAUAAUUGAUGCCACAUCUCGCCAUGAACGGCCUCAGGAGGCAAAGGAUCUCUUUGAUUGCAUGAAACAAAGAGAUUUGGCUGUCUGGAACGCUCUACUUUCAGCAUUUGCCAAAAAGGGGCAUGUUUUGGAGUCUAUAGAUUUGUAUGAAAGACUCCCAGCCCACGAUCUUCGUUCAAGAACAUCACUGCUCAUAGCUUAUGCUUCGAAAGGUGACAUGGUUUCGUUGCUUGAGAUAUUUCAUGAUAACAUUUGAUAAUGAUGACUAAUACGCUCAUAAGCAUUUGUGAAAACUUUAAACCGUCUUUACAACCUUGAUUAUCAGAUUGACAUCUCAUUAGUCGAUGGCAUCUUUCAUAUUGUCUCUCUUGUGCAUAAGGAGGAAAAACUUAAACCAAUCAUAGGUUAUAUUCGAGCCGUUCAUUAGCUAUCUAAUUAUAAAAUUAUAGUCUCUAGCAUAUCCGUUAACAACAUUUACUAAUUAAAAUUUAACGUUACUAAUUUAGAGUUAGUCGUUAAACAUUUAAUGUGGGCGUGACUAAACGCGCCAGAGGAAGUGAGGAGUGAAGAGAGGGGAGGAAGUGAGGAGUGAGCAUGGCAAAGGGGCAACCACGUAAGAGAGGAGGGUGCUGUAUUAUGCAUUUCUCCCGAGAUCUUUCCUCGUGGAGCAUCGUCGCUAGAGCUCAAGCCCAGCAGGGACACUUCGAUCAAGCACUGUUCUUGCUCGAGAUCUCGCCAGAGAUCUCUAUCGCGGCAUGCAACGCGCUCCGCGUACCUCCAGAGAGGCCACCUCGCCAGCGCGAGGCGGGUAUUCGAUCGGAUGGAGCAGCGAGACACGAGUUCGUGGAGCUCGAUCAUCGCGGCCUAUGCCCAGCUCGGUCACUGCGAGGAAUCACUUGCGCUGUUCUGGCAGAUCGACACAACACCCGGCCGCGCGACGUUCCUCGCAGCUCUCGAUGCGUGCUCGGGCCUCUCGAGCCUCUCCCACUGCCGCCAAGUUCACGCAGCGGCGGAUCACACUGGCUGGAUCUCCGAUCUCGCCGUGGCGACUUCACUGGUGGCGAGCUAUGGAAAAUGCAAGGGAGUGGAGGAAUCCAAGGCAGUGUUUGAUCGCAUCGAGCACCCAUCCACUGUCUCGUGGAACUCUUUGCUAAGAUCAUAUGCCCAAAACGGGCAUCUCGCCAAGGCCGCGAGUUUCCUCGAGGAAACCAUUCCUUCUCCAGACGUGGUCUCGUUUAACACGCUCGCGGCGGCUUAUAUCCAGCACGGGAGAGUGAACGAGGCUCUGGAGAUUCUCACGAAAAGGAUGCCCUGCUGGGACAGCUUCUCGCACAACACAGCUAUGGUGGCGCAUGCCCAAGCCGGGCAUAUCCACAAAGUGAAGGAAGUCUUUGAGAAAAUGGAGGAGCCAAGCACGGUCUCGUGGAACACCUUGAUUUGUAUCUUCGUCCAAGCCGGGGAAUGCGAGAGUGCUGCUCGGCUCUUUCACCAAAUGGAUCUGGAAGGCACCCAAGCGGACAAGGUGAGUUUCUUGGCUGUUCUUGACGCCCUUGGGAGGAUCACCGCUCUCCAAAAGGGAAAGCUUGUGCAUGGUGAGCUCCAUCACUCUAGGUUUCAAUCCGACGUGAUGACAAACAAUGCCGUCGUCAACUUUUAUGGGAGGUGUGGAUGCCUUCGAGGGGCAAAGGUGGCGUUUGAGGCAACGACAAGGCAGGACGUGGUUUCAUGGAAUGGAAUCAUCUCGGUGUAUGCGAACAAUGGUCAUUUUGAGGAGACUUUUGAUCUCUUCUGGAGGAUGAAGGAUUUCUUGUUCAAGCUCCCUAAGAAUACUUUAACUCUGGUCAUGCAAUCUUGGGUCGUGGGCCGAAUGGGAUCGCGGCAACAUUGAUGGUUCAUGCUGGAUGGAUAACACUAACAAGUUUCAUUCAGCGUAGAUUUCCAUCAGCCUAGUAGUGACAUUCCCUUCAUUUCUGAAUAGUAGCUAAUUAGCUUAAGCAUGGACGUCCCACGCGAUGCAUGCAGGCAUUGCCCAGCAGCAGCGCAUAUAAACCGAUGCAAGCUUGAAAUUGUAGCUCUCAAGUUUCAGUUCAAGAAAAAUGGCGAAAUUGCUUGUUCUUUCCUCCCUCCUCUUCGGCCUGCUGCUCUUGGCGGCCGAUGCAUCUCAGCGUACGUGCGAACUUCUGCAUUGCAAUUUCAAGAUUCUUGCUCUCUAAUCUGUGGAAUCCAUGUGUAGCGGUUGACAAGGAGAGCACCAGUGAGAAUUACAAUGUCAUUGUCGAGGGACCUCGUGAAGGCAGCGAGGCUGGCCCUGGUCUCAACAACGUUGUCACCCAGGAGCCCCCUGGAAGCACGGUAUGAUCAGGAGCUUUUGAUUAUGCGCCACUGUUUCUCCGUUUGUUAAUGCUGUAGGCCUCCAAGAUACAUACUGCUGCCUGAAGGAUGGUUUCGGAUCAUGUCUUCAGGAGUGCGACUCGGGCGUCAAGUACUACUGCUGCCUCAAGAAUGGAGUCGGCAGCUGCCUGCAACUCUGCGACCCCAAAGUCAAUUACUUCUGCUGCCUCAAGAAUGCAUUUCGCAGCUGUUUGCAGCUGUGCGACUUGUCCAAGAAACACUACUGCUGCAAGACGAACGUUUCUGGUUCCUGCGUUGGACUGUGCCCCAAAACGGUGAAUCUGAUGUGAUUUUGCUUGAUGAACAUGUGUGAAUGCAUUCAAAGAAUAAAUUGCUUCUGUGACAACCUUUCACUUUAACAAAACACCAUUUGCCAUCAGUGUAAAACAAUAUAAUCAUCUUCUGGGCUUGGCGCCACCAUUGCCUUUGCUCGCAGGCUUGCCACCUUUGCCUCUGUUCGCAGGCUUGCCACGUUUGCCUUUGCUCGCACCUUUGCCACCCGUCUUACCACCUUUUCCACCGCCUUUGCCAGGCUUGCCACUUCCUCGGGAUCGUGAGUCCUUCUUCAUGCGACGAUCCACCACAAGCUUCCCUUUGCCACCCUUGACCCUCACGCCCUUCUUCGCCACAACGAGCUCCCGCUUGGGACGCUUAUUGGUCGUCGCCGCCGCUUUCUUGUAAACCUUGUCCAUCAUCCUGUUCUUGGACUUGUUCGAGAUGUCCGGCUGAUCGGCAAUCGCCGCCGCUCUGCUUCGUGCUUGCUCCAUUUUCUUCAUCACCCUCCGCUUCUUGCGAGCCUUGGCCUCAGCAACCUUCUUCACGGGCCUGGCGUCUAUCGCUCUAAACUGCGCCCUCAUCGCCUGGACCUCUUCCUUGGUGAAUGGCUUCUGAAUCUUGCAGUGCCGCUUCUCGUCGUCCGCGAACCAUUCCGGGAGCCCCUCGUCGUCGAACAUGUACUUGUUGUAGGCGUCGUCGAUGAUCCUGUCUCUGUCCUUCUUCCGCAGCAUCUUCUUGGCGUAAGUGAGGAUCUCUGCCUUGGCGUCGCUGUCGUAGUCCUCCUCUUCGUCCGAGGAAGAGUCGGACGAACCACUCGGCUCGGCUGCUACAACCUCAAAGUCUUCCCGUGCUCUCUUGAGCUUUCCUGGCGCAACCGUGACAUCGCUCGGAGGAGCGUCCUUGGCAGUCUUGUCCUUGUUGGUAUCCGUCUCCGGGGUUUGAUCUAAACCGGCGAAGAUGUCUUGACUGAACCAUUGCUGUGCAAUCUGUUCCUUCGAGAGCUUGGCCUUGGGAAGCGACACGACCAGAGGAUUGGCCUCCUCCUCCUCCUCUUCUUCUACUUCGUUUUCUUCUUCCUCAGAAGCAUUCUCUUCCACGUCCUCCUAAGGAUAUUGUCAGCUGCUUGCAAGUUCUAGCACUUUCAUUUGGCUUACCUCCCACAGCUUUUCGUCUCCUGCGUUAGCCAUUCUUGCGCGUUUCCGCCGUGCAGUGUUGCUUUCAGUCUUGCUCCGGUAGCGUUCGUAUGCACGAUCGAGGAAAGAUUCCAGCUCGUCGUUGUAUCUGCGAGAGAUUACGUUAACACUUCAAGGCGUAGUUCUUACCUUUCGCGCUCGACGUCAGAAUCCACAUCAUUGUCUUCGUCAUCCUUCCGCUCCAUGUCCUGCUUACUCGUUUCAUCCUUCACAUUGUCAUCGCUGUCCAACAUGUCGUCAUCCGCAUCUUCCACCCGAUCCAAGCUUUUCUUCGCCUGGAAAAGUGUCCAACAUGAGCUCCUAGGCACAGACGAGAAAGCGGACAAACAAACCUUGAUUGAGCCCAAAGAGAACAGAUCCCGCUCGCCAUAAGUGUCUCCCAAGACAUCGACUUGCAUCCCUGUUCUAUUUCGUGCGUUUAGCUGCAGUGUUGUGGCCCAUCAACAUACACAACAACAAAAGAUAGACAAACAAUAUGUACCUUCUGUUUACGCUUGGCAGCCUUCUUCUUCGCCUGCUUGCUUUUCGAAUCCAUUAGAGACUUGAGCUCCUCCAUUUUCUUUAGCAUAUCCUCGUCUUCAUCUUCUUUUUCGUCGUCAUCCUUUUCAGCAGCCUUAUCACCCUCUGUUUCCUCCGAAGCUGACGUUUUCGAAAGAGCUUUUCGUACAUGCAGGCACCACCUGAGAGAACCAAAUGAGCAUGAAAGACAACAGCCACGAGAAGUAGAACCUACUUCAAAAGUUGCUUGAAUUCUUUCUUCCCCAGAACUCUAAGGUCUUCGCAUAAUGCUUUUAUCUACAAGAAAAAAAGUCCUCCAAAUCAAAACAAGCAAACGAGGAUUAGAUAUGAACGUACCUCGUCAGUUGUUUCAGCGUGGUCUUUGAUUGGCGAACUUUUCGGAUCCUCAAACGAAAUAGACGUGAUGCUACCAAGAAGCUCUAGAGGUUUUUCGGACCAGACGAAGUCUGCUGCCGUGCAGUCUUUACGAAAAGUAGUGUUUGCGUCAUCGUAUCUGCAGAAAAUAAAAAACAUAAAACCAAGAGUCUAUUUGACGUGAGAACCCACCCCUCGCGGUGACGUUUCUGUUUACUACUACGAAGAACGUCGAUCACCUACACAAUUUACUCGGCUUUAGCGCAAGCACCUUGUUUACAAUAACAAAACCCACCUUUGGGGGCUGAGGAAUCUCUUCAAAUAAAAAGCGAGGGUCCAAGUUACGCGGAUCGAUUUUCACGGGUGCCAGAUACUUGAGACCAACCACGUAUAUUUCAGCUGAUGUCGAACGACUUGCUAUGGGUUUCGUGACUUCCACCUUGGCAAACAGCUACCAAACGAUACAAGAGGCAAUGAAAUAUCACUCAAAAAACCAUGACAAACAUACCUGUUCAAAUGCAUACUUCAGCGCGUUAUAAUCUUGGGAUCGAAAAACCUGCAAGAAAAACCAAUUUUGGGAAUCAGAGAAGAAGGAAAAAUUCAAAAAUGGAGGAAGAAGAAGAAUUCUUCGUACCUUGGUGACAAACGUUCCUUUGGGAGCCAGAAACUUGGUAGCCAACUUCAAAGAAUCCAGGACAAGAGACGACUGCGUCAUGGCUUCUUUGGCCCAGGCACCUCCCACAUUGGGGGAGCCAUCGUGGAGCACAACAUCGACCAUCCUCAACCCGUUCUGGUCGAGAAUCUUCCCAAUAUCCGACGCGCAUUUUGGAGUGGUGAUAUCGCCCUGGAGCGACAGCGCCCCUCUCACGGGACGAAUCGGCACCAGAUCCACGCCGAUUACCACAGACCUCACGGGCAUCUUCUCCACGGCCACCUGCAUCCAUCCCCCGGGCGCCGCGCACAAAUCCAGCACCGAGUGCGCCGAGCUGAGGAAGCCAUACUUGCGAUCGAGCUGCACGAGCUUGAAUGCGGCACGGGAGCGGUAGCCCUGCUCCUUGGCGAGGUAGUAGAAGCGAUCCAAGCGGUGCUUCCCCUUCUUCGCCUUCCCCAUCCCUGCAAGACCUUCGAGGAACCCUAAAACCCCACUUUAGGUUUACAAGAAAUAUUCUGGUGGAUAUUCGAGCGCUUUUAAAAUGAGUCAGUCGACAUUGGAUACAAGCAAAUCACAUUCAUAAAGUCUUCCCUUCUUGGGUGAUAUGCUAGUUAUUUAUCUUAAGCAUGCAUCGCGUGGGGAUGGGGACGCCCACGCGAUGCAUGCAGGCAUUCCUCCUUUAUAAACAGAUGCAAAACCUUGUAUUGUCAAGCAUAAUAUUUCUGAUUUCAGUUCAAGGAGAAUGGCCAAAGUUCUUCUUUCCGCCCUCCUCUUUGGCCUGCUGCUCUUCGUAGUGGAUGCAUCUCGCAACACUCAGCGUACGUGCAAACACUUCCGCAUUCUUGCAAAUUGUUUCUCUAACCUGUAGAAUGGCUCUAGUGACUGGCAGGGAGAGCGAUGUGACUUACGUCAUCGAUGGGCCUCGUGAAGGUAACCAGGCUGCUGAUCUCAAUGUUAUCAUCCAGAACACCCCGAAACACGGUAACUUAAAUCACGUUAUGAUCUUCCUUGUUGUGAUCAUGAGCUGUCCUUGUGACAUUGAUUAUGCCACUGCUUUUCCGCUUUUGAUGCUUGCAGGCCUCCAAGAUACAUACUGCUGCCUGAGGAACGGCUUUGGAUGUGUUCAGGAGUGCGACUCCAACAUCAAAUACUACUGCUGCCUGAAGAAUGGAUUCGGAUGCCAACAGUUCUGCGAGGAAAACGUUAAUUAUUUCUGCUGCCUCAAGAAUGGAUUUGGCAGCUGCCAGCAGCUCUGCGACUCGUCCAAGGAACACUACUGCUGCAAAAAGAACGGCUUUGGGAGCUGCACUGGAAUGUGCCCCAAAACCGUGGACCUGAUGAAGUGAUCUGCGUUUGAUGAAAAGUGUA